rnacentral:rRNA from 1 species
UGGGCAACCUGCCCUCAGCUCUGGGAUAAACCCCGGGGAAACCGGGGCUAAUACCGGAUACGACCUCCGCGGGCAUCUGCGGAGAUGGAAAGGUUUUCCGGCUGAGGAUGGGCCGGCGGCCUAUCAGCUAGUUGGUGGGGUGAUGGCCCACCAAGGCGACGACGGGUAGCCGGCCUGAGAGGGCGACCGGCCACACUGGGACUGAGACACGGCCCAGACUCCUACGGGAGGCA